rnacentral:rRNA from 1 species
ACGGGUGAGUAACACGUGGGUAACUUACCUCAUAGUGGGGGAUAACAGUCGGAAACGACUGCUAAUACCGCAUAGGACAUGGAAUCACAUGAUUCAGUGAGGAAAGGUGGCGCAAGCUAUCGCUAAGAGAUGGACCCGCGGUGCAUUAGCUAGUUGGUAGGGUAAAGGCCUACCAAGGCGAUGAUGCAUAGCCGACCUGAGAGGGUGAUCGGCCACAUUGGGACUGAGACACGGCCCAAACUCCUACGGGAGGCAGCAGUAGGGAAUCUUCCGCAAUGGACGCAAGUCUGACGGAGCAACGCCGCGUGAGUGAAGAAGGUCUUCGGAUCGUAAAGCUCUGUUGUUAGAGAAGAACAGCGCAUAGAGUAACUGUUAUGCGUGUGACGGUAUCUAACCAGAAAGCCACGGCUAACUACGUGCCAGCAGCCGCGGUAAUACGUAGGUGGCGAGCGUUGUCCGGAUUUAUUGGGCGUAAAGCGCGUCUAGGUGGUUAUGUAAGUCUGAUGUGAAAAUGCAGGGCUCAACUCUGUAUUGCGUUGGAAACUGCAUGACUAGAGUACUGGAGAGGUAAGCGGAACUACAAGUGUAGAGGUGAAAUUCGUAGAUAUUUGUAGGAAUGCCGAUGGGGAAGCCAGCUUACUGGACAGAUACUGACGCUAAAGCGCGAAAGCGUGGGUAGCAAACAGGAUUAGAUACCCUGGUAGUCCACGGCCGUAAAC